GCUUAGCUGGCUCAGUCAGUAGAGCAUGUGACUCUUGAUCUCAGGGCUGUGGGUUUGAACCCCACAUUGGGUG
rfam:Felis catus isolate Cinnamon breed Abyssinian chromosome C1, whole genome shotgun sequence.